GUGUUUGCCUCAGCAGCACAUAUACUAAAAAUGAAAUCUUUCAGGGAAGGUUAGCACUGCUUGGAUAGAAGGGUGACAUGCAAAUUUUUUGUAGUACCCCAUAUUAAU
rnacentral:snRNA from 1 species